rnacentral:misc_RNA from 1 species
GCAUCAGCGUGGCCGUGGCCUCGGCGCCCGCGACGAGGUUGAGGUGGCCCACGUCCCCCGCGAGCAGCGCUGCCGGCGUAGGCCGCACCAGCAUCGUGUGCCAAUGCAUGUCGAUCAGCCCGGGCAUCAGCGUGCGCCCGCCGCCGUCAAUAAACGUGGUGGUCGCGCUGCGAUCGGCCGGGAUCGAACCGGAAAUACGCUCGAUCUUGUUCCCGCGAACGAGAACGUCUCUCGGCCCCGCAAGGGUGCCGCUCUUGCCGUCAAAAAUCCGGACGUUCUGAAACAACGUGACCGCGCCGCCGGCCGAACUGGGAGGACUCGCGCGCGGCGUUUCCUGAGCAUGCGCUGCUUGGCAAAGACCGAUCAGGAGUGCCGCCAACAACAACUGCAACCACGGGUUAGGCAGCUUCAUAUGAAGGAUCCCGUACGGAAUGAGACGCCGACUAUGACAAACAGAACAGACAAUAGUGUCACCACCGGGAGCGCUACAUCGGAGCGAAGGGUCAGGCGUCACUGUCGCUGGAGCUCGGCUGCAUCCACUCAUUCGUCGAUGAACUUCCACGUAUCGGCGCCGUCGAAUCGGCGAACGCGUACGGAAGCUAUGAGCUUGGGGU